rnacentral:lncRNA from 1 species
CAUGGCCUUUAGCUGUGAUCUUGGAAAUCGACCAAUGUAAUCAUUAGACUGAGAAUUAAAGCUGUAUUUGACCACUUUGUGUGAUUUAUAUUUUUAAACAAUGUAGGAACUGUUAUGAUUAAGGAGGCAAUGUGGGUGUCUAGGACCUAGCUCCCUGUUACUUGUCAUCAUCCAAGUUGCUUUAUCGAAUCUCUUUAUUUCCUUGGUAUCAAAUAACAAAUAUUGGUAACACAUUAGAUUAGCUGAAUGAUAGUCUUUAAUAAACAUUUUCCUAAAAUGAAAAAUAUUACUAUAUCCAUUUCAUGUUGUCCUUUUUGUCCAGUAUGAAUGCAUUCUGUAAAAGCUCAUGUAUUUAAAUAUUUGUCUGCUUCUGUUUUUAGUCCCAAACUAAACUGGAAUUGUCAGGAACUCGUCAACAUAAAGACUAGGAUCAUAUUUUUGCUGCCUAUUUGAACACUUGCUCCAUGAUAUUUGAAUGCAACAGGAAUUACAAAAAAAAAAUACAAUUCCUGCAUGCUGUUCUACAGUGAUGUGUGAAUAUUCAUGAAUACUGAAUUGUUUUUCUGGAGGAAAUAUGUAAAAGCAUGAAAGUGAUCAUCAGCUGACCUCUGCUCCAAGCUGAAUUGUGCAGUUUAGGAAACAAUGGGGAAAAGAAAUUUAUUUCCAACUAGAAUUUGAUUGCAAAAUGAAUAGGAGGCUACUUCCUUGCACGUCUAGGAAAAACUUAACAUGCAUCAAGAAACAUCUAUUUUUAAAGCCCUAAAUAACCUUUUUAAGACUAAGACUCUGCUGUCAUUUUCCUGACCUGUAUAGAAUCAUGCUGAUCACAACUGGCUACUUGGGUAUUUCAGUUUCAGUGAAAAAAUUAAGGCAAUUAAAAAUAAAAAUUAAGGCAUUUUCUUCUUGCA